ACUGCUAAUACCGCNUAACGUAUCGGGAUGGCAUCUUCCUGAUACCAAAGAUUUUAUUCGCUUAGAGAUGGGCUCGCGUCUGAUUAGAUAGUUGGCGGGGUAACGGCCCACCAAGUCGACGAUCAGUAGCCGGACUGAGAGGUUGAACGGCCACAUUGGGACUGAGACACGGCCCAGACUCCUACGGGAGGCAGCAUG
rnacentral:rRNA from 1 species